rnacentral:rRNA from 1 species
UGAGGAAUAUUGGUCAAUGGGCGCGAGCCUGAACCAGCCAAGUCGCGUGAGGGAGGACGGCCCUACGGGUUGUAAACCUCUUUUGUCAAGGGACAAAAUCAGGCUCGAGAGCCUGACCGAGGGUACUUGAAGAAAAAGCAUCGGCUAACUCCGUGCC